rnacentral:rRNA from 1 species
GUGAACGCUGGCGGUAGGCCUAACACAUGCAAGUCGAACGGCAGCACAGUAAGAGCUAGCUCUUACGGGUGGCGAGUGGCGGACGGGUGAGGAAUACAUCGGAAUCUACUUUUUCGUGGGGGAUAACGUAGGGAAACUUACGCUAAUACCGCAUACGACCUACGGGUGAAAGCAGGGGAUCUUCGGACCUUGCGCGAUUGAAUGAGCCGAUGUCGGAUUAGCUAGUUGGCGGGGUAAAGGCCCACCAAGGCGACGAUCCGUAGCUGGUCUGAGAGGAUGAUCAGCCACACUGGAACUGAGACACGGUCCAGACUCCUACGGGAGGCAGCAGUGGGGAAUAUUGGACAAUGGGCGCAAGCCUGAUCCAGCCAUACCGCGUGGGUGAAGAAGGCCUUCGGGUUGUAAAGCCCUUUUGUUGGGAAAGAAAAGCAGCAGGUUAAUACCCCGCUGUUCUGACGGUACCCAAAGAAUAAGCACCGGCUAACUUCGUG